rnacentral:lncRNA from 1 species
UUUUGGAUGAGGGAGUAGGUGUGGUUUCCAUCGGAAGUGGUUUUUUAUGUGGGGCUUUCUUCGGUGCUUUUGGUUUUGACGGUGAGGGGUUUUCUCCGGUGAGAUCGAUUUCUGUUCCGUCGGGUAUGCCUCUAAGUUUGUUUUUGGGUCUGGUGGAUACCAUGGUGGCUGAUGGUGGUUUUGUAUUCGAAAGGUCGAGAAAGGGGGUGGUGAUUAUGGGAAGUUGGCUAGUUAGGGUAGAGUGACGUCGUGGGUAGAGGUUUUAGGGUUUUGGGGGUGUAAGGGCUGACAACUGUCACUUGAUGUGACGUGCGUCAGACGGUUUCGGCCGCGUUCUGCCCGAGAGCCCCCUUCUGCCCUGGAAUCAUUGCUUCUCCAAUCGACUGCUUCUUGCCCAUAACUGCUCCCCUGUCUCUGCAAAACACAUUCAAACUUCCGCGAAGGCGGGAAACUAAAACUCGCCCACAGCUGUGGGCAUAACCGGGUUCCUAGGCAAACAAAAAACGAAAAACGAAACAAACUAAAAAAAAACUAAACGGAAAUACCAGGUUACCUCCUGGCCAGUGCCCUAUUUAUCGUCCUGGGCAUGACGUGAUACCUUCCAAUUAAUCCGAGGUGCUUGUGGCUGGAUCGAGAUCCAGUUCUUCCCCAGCGUCGGGCUUAUGCCCAUAAUAGGCUUUCAGCCUUUGUCCAUUAACCUUGA